AUGAAGCAGAUCUUCCAUCUGGGUGAAAGCCAUUCUGGCCCCAGACAAGGUGUGCUCAGACUCAGCCAGCAGGGAUUCACAAAAGAUAACAGCUCCAGUGAACACGCAUUUCUGCUUCGCUUUUCUUUUUUCUGCUCUGCAGCACUGAGCAGGCUGAGAGGCUCAGAGGUUGGGGCUGCUUGGCUUGUGCGUAACCCCACAGAAGGAACUGGAGCUUCUGGGAGAAGUCCCUUGCUUUUUCUAAACUCAUGUCUACACAGGAAUGCACGACUGCCGUUCCAGCUGCCUGGUGCUACCCAGCAUUUCUCUCCAGUGGGCCGCCUGUCACCGGGAAAACAGGACAUCGGUUCUCACCUCCCGGACUGGAGCCUCAGAAGAACGUUUUUACGGAAAACGGCUCUGCUGUGAUGUUUUCCCAGGCUACUUCUUCGUUACACCCAAAGCUGUCCCACCAGCCACCUGACAGCUCUCUGCUCAGCAAGGGCAAGCAGAAGGGAAAGGUGCACCCCAGGGUGCAGCUGCGUGCUCGUGGUUUUUCUGGGGCAUCCCCAGCUGAAAGCUGCUUCCCGUUUUAGGAAGGAAGAGUAUCCAAAAUGCCACCACCUGCCUCCUUUGAGCUUGUGUUCCCCUCCCCGAGCUUAACAAGGAAGGUCAGGCUUCCUUAAACUUCACUACCGCAGCAGCUUGGUGUAUCAGAAGACCAAGAGUGAACUUCCUUAAAAAUGAUGGAGAAGUUAACAGAUUCCGCAUUAACAGAUAUAACCAAGAAUAUCUGAAUAUUAAUUCAAGCUACUGAGCUGAACAGAGAUGAAGAGUCCUUUGGGGAAAAGGGAAUGUGAAAUGGAUCAAGAUUUUAGCAGGGCCAUGGUGAAUAAUUUUGCACUGACGAGUCACGAAUGUACAUGAUGGAGACAGAAAUAUCAGAGAAGAUCCUACACAAACACCUUUUCAGUGCUUUUUAAUCUUUUCAUUUGCUUCCAGGGUGCAAUGCUCCCUCCAUCUUUCAGGUCCGUGGCAUGAGGUAUAGUACAGGAGGGAAUUAUCUUCUUGCAUAUGGAGAGUUUAGGCCCCCUUAAAGGGGUUUGCUGGAUAGUUGUGAAGAUGUAAGCACUCUGCAGAUACCCAGAACAAACUUCCACAGUGCUUUGCUAAAAAAUAUGGUGCAAUGCUUGGCUGGAUGAAGCACGGUGAAAGAGCUCUGUUUUCACGGCUCAUUUAGUCCAGGACUUUUCUUUAGGGACAGCCAGCAAGAGCACCGAUUUUGAUCACUUUCUACUGAUGUGGACAAAGUUAUUCUGGGAUUUGGGCUGAGACUGACUCAUUUUACAGGACUUUUAAGAGGUUUUAAUUUCUACCAUCAUGGGGUAAAUUCAAAGUGGUCACCUGGAGAAGACAGUUCCCAGAUCUGCCCCACUCCAAGCCAGCCAGCUCCUUUCUCACAUGAACUUACAGCAGAGAUGCAUUUGGAAGAGAAAGACAUCUUUUCAGAAGUGUUUAACAGAAUAGUUUGUCGUUCAGCUGCAGCUGAAAGGGAACGUCUCCUUACCUCAAGUUUCUGACCCUUUUGUAAAAAAAUGUUCAGAUCUCUCUUUAAAGAAAAAUAUUUUUUAAAAAAUCAUUUGUUCUAAAAGAAGUCCUUACAUUUGGCAGAAACAGACACUGUUUGCUCUUUUUUUAAUGACCUGCACGUGCCACACUGCCCUCUUGUGCAAUGUUCCCUUGCCCAAACAGCCCUGGUGCAGCAAUGUCAGGGGCACUCAGGUGUGAAGGUGCUGAGAGGCCUUUAAGUACCUUGAUCAAGAGACUAAAAGAAAAUGCAAAAUGGAACUUUCCUCAGCAACUCAGGGAUUCCUCCCCCCAAAUCACUAGAAAACCUUUAGUAAGAACUCCUCCUCCCCCUCCAUUGUUACACUGCAGACAGAUUUAAAUAGCACCCUGCUCUGCAAGAGGGCUGUAAGGGGCCCUAGAGCCAUCCAGCUGAGAUAAAAGGCCACAGCCGAGUGUUUCUGUAAAGACAACAGUUGCACCAUGAGUGACAGAUCCUUCGUUAUGUCAGUACACCCCACCGCAAAGGGAAGAAAAGAUGUCUUUGGGCACCCUUUGCAGAGCGUUACCCGCUCUGUGCAUGCUCUAAUCCCUGUCUCUCAGCUCCAUGGCUGCCUGGCUCCCUGCGAGCGAUGCCCAGCAGCACGAACACCGGUGCCUGGUGCCCUGCGGGCAGGAGGCUGCUGGCAGGCACCUGCCAUUUCAUGUAUUCCACGUGCAGAAACCUGCACGGACGGUUUUGCUACCUCACCUCUACGUAGUCCCCCAGAUUUUCCCCCGUGGUUCCUGGAAUGGCCUUUCCUAUCACUGUGAGGAUGAAGGACGAUAAACUUUCAUAACCAUUUUUAUUUUUCUGUAUAAAAAUCGAUUGCCACCUGCUUCAUUUCCGUGAUAAAACAAGACUAAUUUGGUCCCAGGCAGUUCCUUUCUGAACCCUCCUUUAGCAUCAGCUCAUUACACUUAGAUCAACCAAGACAGAGACAUUAUUUUUUCCUUAAGUAAAUCUAAUUUCUUCCCUAUGCUAGCCAUGAUUCUUGGCAAAUGUGCUUAAGAAAGAAGCUUGGAGGAAAUGAGUGAUAUUUUUGAUUCUGAAGAAACAAAUGCCAAAAGUCAAUUUUGAAAGGAUAAUACAACUUCAAAUGACUCAUAUGUUUGUUGAGAUGCUGGGACAGUAGAGCCCUGGUGAAAGGAAGAAGCUGGGUUUUUAAACUGCUUAAACUGUUGAUCUUCUGCAUUGUUUGGGCUUUUGCAAUCAGAUCUCUAUUUCAGUUAAUAAAAAAUAAGGCAGUUACUCA
ensembl:lncRNA